UGCGUAGGUGGUUUCUUAAGUCAGAGGUGAAAGGCUAUGGCUCAACCGUAGUAAGCCUUUGAAACUGGGAAACUUGAGUGCAGGAGAGGAGAGUGGAAUUCCUAGUGUAGCGGUGAAAUGCGUAGAUAUUAGGAGGAACACCAGUGGCGAAGGCGACUUUCUGGACUGUGUCUGACGCUGAGGCUCGAAAGCAUGGGUAGCGAACG
rnacentral:rRNA from 1 species